ACGCUGGCGGCAUGCCUAAGACAUGCAAGUCGAACGAGACGGCCUAUUGAAGAUGGAGUGCUUGCACAAAGUUGGAUAUAGUUUACCGUCUAGUGGCGCAAGGGUGAGUAACGCGUGGGUUAUCUGCCUUCAAGACUGGGAUAACGGUUAGAAAUGAUCGCUAAUACCGGAUAAUACAUAUUUCAGUACGCUGUUAUAUGUUGAAAGGAGCCUUUAAAGCUCUACUCGAAGAUGAGCCUGCGUCGUAUUAGCUAGUUGGUGGGGUAAAGGCCUACCAAGGCGACGAUGCGUAGCCGACCUGAGAGGGUGAUCGGCCACACUGGGACUGAGACACGGCCCAGACUCCUACGGGAGACAGCGGUUAGGAAUAUUUGUCAAUGGAGGAAACUCUGAACAAGCAAUGCCGCGUGAAGGAUGACGGUCCUAUGGAUUGUAAACUUCUGUUGUUAGGGAAGAACGACUACACAAGGAAAUGUGUGUAGAGUGACGGUACCUUUCAAGAAAGCUCCGGCUAACUACGUGCCAGCAGCCGCGGUAAUACGUAGGGAGCGAGCGUUAUCCGGAUUUAUUGGGUGUAAAGGGUGCGUAGGCGGCUUUAUAAGUCGGUGGUCUAAGUCCGAAGCUUAACUUCGGUUCGCCAUUGAAACUGUAGAGCUUGAGUAUGGAAGAGGUAAGUGGAAUUUCUAGUGUAGCGGUUAAAUGCGUAGAUAUUAGAAGGAACACCAGUGGCGAAAGCGACUUACUGGUCCACUACUGACGCUGAGGCACGAAAGCGUGGGGAGCAAAUAGGAUUAGAUACCCUAGUAGUCCACGCCGUAAACGAUGGAUACUAAGUGUCGGGGCAACUCGGUGCUGAAGUUAACACAUUAAGUAUCCCACCUGAGUAGUACGGUCGCAAGGCUGAAACUCA
rnacentral:rRNA from 1 species